rnacentral:rRNA from 1 species
UACGUAGGGCGCAAGCGUUGUCCGGAAUUAUUGGGCGUAAAGAGCGUGUAGGCGGUUUGGUAGGUCCGUUGUGAAAACUCGAGGCUCAACCUCGAGACGCCGAUGGAAACCAUCAGACUAGAGUCCGGAAGAGGAGAGUGGAAUUCCUGGUGUAGCGGUGAAAUGCGCAGAUAUCAGGAGGAACACCGAUGGCGAAGGCAGCUCUCUGGUACAUGAUUGACGCUGAGACGCGAAAGCGUGGGGGAGCGAACAGG